rnacentral:lncRNA from 1 species
CAGAGUGCAGAUGUCGGCCUCUGAGGUAGCUGGCCUUGGGGCCCGAGCCCCGAGUCCUUCGGAAUCGUCUGCUUCUUGUACUUCCAAGUCAGAUGACGCUCUCCCAGAUGGCCUAAGACUGACUUUAAGACAGCAGAUUCAGAAGUAAACACAGACCAAGAUAUUGAAAAGAAUCUGGACAAAAUGAUGACAGAGAGAACUCUGCUGAAGGAACGUUACCAAGAAGUCCUGGACAAGCAGAGACAGGUGGAGAGUCAGCUCCAAGUGCAAUUGAAGCAGCUUCAGCAAAGGAGGGAAGAAGAGAUGAAGAAUCACCAGGAGAUACUAAAGGCCAUUCAGGAUGUGACCAUAAAGCGAGAAGAAACCAAGAAGAAGAUAGAGAAAGAAAAGAAG